AGAGUUUGAUUAUGGCUCAGGAUGAACGCUGGCGGCGUGCUUAACACAUGCAAGUCGAACGGAGUUAUUACGAAAGCUUGCUUUGUUUAACUUAGUGGCGGACGGGUGAGUAACGCGUGAGGAACCUGCCCUUUAGUGGGGAAUAACACCGAGAAAUCGGUGCUAAUACCGCAUAAUGUCGGGAAACCGCAUGAUUUUCCGACCAAAGGAUUUAUUCGCUUAAGGAUGGCCUCGCGUCCGAUUAGGCAGUUGGUGGGGUAACGGCCCACCAAACCAACGAUCGGUAGCCGAACUGAGAGGUUGAUCGGCCACAUUGGGACUGAGACACGGCCCAGACUCCUACGGGAGGCAGCAGUGGGGAAUAUUGGGCAAUGGGGCCGAAAGCCUGACCCAGCAACGCCGCGUGAAGGAUGACGGUCUUAGGAUUGUAAACUUCUUUAAUCGGGGAAGAAUAAAUGACCUACCCGAAGAAUAAGCCACGGCUAACUACGUGCCAGCCGCCGC
rnacentral:rRNA from 1 species